AUGGUUGGCCAAAUGCAGAUAUCUUGGCCAUCCACGAUUGUAGAGCUCAUCUUGGGCCUGCUAUGGCACCUCGUCCACCUGUUGGUCAGCCUCUUUGAUUUGUGGUCGCAUCUGAGUGAUAAUCUAGAAUGCUAUCUUAUUUCGUCUGAGCUGCUGCCUAAGUACCAAGAUCUUCAUUUUGAGAGACUUAAUUACGUGGGCGUUGUAGUAGAUAGCAGAGAAGCAAAUAAUGUUUUGAAGAUCAAGCAACUUUUAUGGUGGUUAUCGACUAUUGGCGUCAAGUAUGUAGUUCUCUAUGACAUUGAAGGAGUACUGAAGGAAUGGCUUAAACCUGGUAUCGAAACCCCAAGAGAUGAGAACUCAAGAACUAACUUAGAUCUUAGUGCACAUGGGGGGAUGACUAUAGAGUGUCUUUCUGGUUCUGAUGGCAAGGAAGGCAUUGCUAAAGCAGCAAACUUACUGUGCUCAGACUUCUGCAAUCGCAACACUCAUGGGCAUAAUAAAGGUGACAAUGCAUUUACAGAAGCUGACAUGGUUUGUGCACUGAGAGCAGUAGGUAGUGGUGGGCCAGAACCUGAUCUUCUUCUUGUGUAUGGUCCUGUUAGAUGUCAUUUAGGAUUUCCUGCAUGGAGAUUACGUUUCACAGAGAUUAUGCAUAUGGGCUCGCUGAAAUCAAUGAAAUACGGUUCUAUUGUGAAAGCUUUGCAUCGAUUCUCACACAAAUAUCAAAAUUAUGGUAAAUGA
rnacentral:rRNA from 1 species